AUGGGUAAACCAGUACACGGAAGAAUUAAGGGCCAUCGCAAAGAAUCUUUAUUUGGAAAUUAAUACUUCUCUUGAACUCUUUCUGCAUCCCUGGUCUGGUUAACUCAUCAAACCUCCUCGGCUUCUGAACGGAUUAUUUUCGCACAGAUGCAUUUUGUGUAUCAGUAAGGAGGUAUGAUCUAAGGAAAUGUUGGUAAUUUAAUAUCCAAGGUGGAUUUUUCCAGUUCUGUGGGAAAGAGGCUAAAAAACAUGAACAAAUAAAUAAUAAGAAAAAAUGUGUCCAGUAAAUGUUAAAUCUUGUCAAGGAAUUGACCUGUAUGUUCCAUUUACCCUGUGUACAGCGCUAUGGAAUAUGUUGGAGCUUUUUGUUUUUUUAACAAUAGUUAACUUUUCUAAUAGUAAACACUGGCCAUUUAAUGUAGUAUUU